AGAGCAUAUGGAGAAUGCCUUGGCAUUGGGAGCCGAUGAAGGACGUGGUUAACUGCGAAAAGCUGCGGGGAAUUGUAAGCGAGUUAUGAUCCGCAGAUGUCCGAAUGGAGCAAUCCGUAUAAGUGAAGCUUAUACAUCGUAUACUGAAUAAAUAGGUAUACGAGGGGAACCGCCUGAACUGAAACAUCUAAGUAGGGCGAGGAAGAGAAAUCAAAAGAGAUUUCGUGAGUAGUGGCGAGCGAAAGCGAAAGAGGCCAAACCGUGAGUAGAAAUACACACGGGGUUGAGGACUGCAAUAUUGUAUCCGAAGUUUUAAUUGAAGUGCAUGGGAAGGCACACCAGAGAAUGUGAGAGUCAUGUAAAUGAAAAGAUAACGGAGCAAGCAGGAUCCAGAGUACUGCCGGACACGAGAAAUCCGGUGGGAAGCCGGGGGGACCACCCUCCAAGCCUAAAUACUACCCAAUGACCGAUAGCGAAUAGUACUGUGAAGGAAAGGUGAAAAGAACCCCGGGAGGGGAGUGAAAAAGAACCUGAAACCAUAUGCUUACAAGCACAUAGAGCACGUCAAGGUGUGAUAUGGUACCUAUUGUAGAAUGGUCCGGCGAGUUAUCUUAAUGAGCAAGGUUAAGAACUUAAGGUUCGAAGCCGAAGCGAGAGCAAGUCUUAACAGGGCGUUAAGUUCAUUGAGAUAGACCCGAAACCGAGUGACCUAGCCAUGUCCAGGCUGAAGUGGAGGUGAAACUCCAUGGAGGGCCGAACCGACCCCCGUUGAAAAGGUGGCGGAUGAGGUGUGGCUAGCGGAGAAAUUCCAAUCGAACUCGGAUAUAGCUGGUUCUCCUCGAAAUAGCUUUAGGGCUAGCGUUGUGAAUGAUUACCGGAGGUAAAGCACUGAAUGGGCUAGGGGACGAAAGUUUACUGAACCCUAUCAAACUAAGAAUGCCGGAUAAUAGAGAUCACAGCAGUCAGACUGUGUGAGAUAAGUCUCAUAGUCAAAAGGGAAAGAGCCCAGACCCACAGCUAAGGUCCCAAAAUAGAUUUAAGUGGAAAAGGAUGUGGGGUUGCCCAGACAACCAGGAUGUUGGCUUAGAAGCAGCCAAACAUUAAAAGAGUGCGUAAUAGCUCACUGGUCGAGUGACCCUGCGCCGAAAAUUCAUCGGGGCUAAAAUGUACACCGAAGCUUGGGAUGAUGACUUUGUCAUCGUGGUAGGAGAGCGUCGUAUAAGGGGUGAAGUCAGAGCGGAAGCGCUGGUGGACUUUAUACGAGUGAGAAUGCCGGAAUGAGUAGCGAGAAUUAUGUGAGAAUCAUAAUGGCCGAAAAUCUAAGGUUUUAGGAGGAAGGUUCGUCCGCUCCUAGUAAGCCGGGAGCUAAGGUGAGGCGGAAACGCGUAGCCGAUGCACAUACGGUAGAAAAUCCGUAGCCUCCAAAAUAUUUAAGCACAGUGACACUAGGAAAGUCUUUAGCCGGGUGAUGGUUACCCCGGUCGAAAGGGACUGCGAAAGCGGGAAGUAAAGAUGGACAGAGGCGAGAAAAGCUGUGUGUAUAUAUGAGGAGCCCGUACCGCAAACCGACACAGGUAGACAGGAAGAGAAUUCUAAGGCCAACGGGAGAAAGGUUGUUAAGGAACUCGGCAAGUUGACCCCGUAACUUAGGGAUAAGGGGUGCUCAAGAAAUUGAGCCGCAGAGAAUAGGCCCAAGCGACUGUUUAGCAAAAACACAGCUCUAUGCUAAAUCGAAAGAUGACGUAUAUGGGGUGACACCUGCCCGGUGCUGGAAGGUUAAGAGGAGAAGUGAGAGCUUUGAAUUGAAGCCCCAGUAAACGGCGGCCGUAACUAUAACGGUCCUAAGGUAGCGAAAUUCCUUGUCAGGUAAGUUCUGACCCGCACGAAUGGCGUAAUGAUCUGGGCACUGUCUCAACAACCCGCCCGGCGAAAUUGUAGUACCGGUGAAGAUGCCGGUUACCCGCGACUAGACGGAAAGACCCCAUGGAGCUUCACUGUAGCUUAAUAUUGGAUUUCGGUAUUUCAUGUACAGGAUAGGUGGGAGACAAGGAAGCAAGUGCGUCAGCAUUUGUGGAGUCGAUGUUGGGAUACCACUCUUGAAGUGCUGGAAUUCUAACCUGCGGCCAUGAAACUGGUCGGGGGACAAUGUUAGGUGGGCAGUUUGACUGGGGCGGUCGCCUCCAAAAGAGUAACGGAGGCGCUCAAAGGUU
rnacentral:rRNA from 1 species